CAGAGAGGUGACCCCCUUGGGGUUCCUUUAAAUGUUACUAGGACCCCCAAGCGUGCGACAACACACUAAAGGGGUAGGCUAAGUAAAGAAGCCUCUAGACAAGCCCUUCAUCGGUAUUUUUAGGUUCAUACCUAUCAGCCCUUGUACGUAAC
rnacentral:rRNA from 1 species